rnacentral:rRNA from 1 species
UGUGCAAUUUCAACAAGAGCAUAUGGUGGAUGCCUAGACACUAAAAGAUGAAGAAGGACGUUGCAAGGUGCGAUAAGCCUCGGGGAGCUCCUAAGCAAGCUGUGAUCCGGGGAUUUCCGAAUGGGGAAACCCGUUACAAAGAAAUUUGUAACAUCGUAUACUGAAUUCAUAGGUGUACGAGGAAGACCUGGCGAAGUGAAACAUCUCAGUAGCCAGAGGAAAAUAAAUCGAAGAGAUUCCCUUAGUAGUGGCGAGCGAAAAGGGAUCAGCCUAAACCUUAUACAUGUUGUUGCCGUAACAGAUUGAUCGCAAGGUUAAUUAUGAGCGGCAGUUUAAAGACGCAGGUCGUUGUGUAUAUGGUGUAAUAAGACAAUUACGCGUCCGCCCUGCGGCGGACGGUGAAAAUGUGACUUUCCUAGUAGAACGCUCUGGAACGAGCGGCCGCAGAGGGUAAGAGCCCCGUACGCGAAAGGAGUCUAUAUAAUCAUGGUAGUUGUUCUUGAGUAGGGCGGAACUCGUGAAAUUCCGUCUGAAUUCGGGCCGACUAUGGUCUAAGGCUAAAUACUUUUAGUGAUCGAUAGUGGACUAGUACCACGAGGGAAAGGUGAAAAGUAGCCCGGUGAGGGCGAUGAAAUAGUAUCUGAAACCAUAUGUUUACAAAGAGCGGAAGACCGGAGUACCCAGAAUUAUUCCCCCCUACGGGGGGAAUAAUUCUGGGUCCUGGUCGACCGUGUUCCUAUUGAAGAAUGAGCCUGCGAGUGUGCUGUAUGUCGUUGCUUAAACCCUUCUGGGGUGGAGGCAUAGCGAAAGCGAGUCUUAACGGGCGUAUAUAAUGGCAUGCACAUAACCCGAAACCGGGUGAGCUAUCCAUGACCAGGAUGAACCCUUCCGAAAGGAAGGGGGAGGUCCGAACACACGAGCCGUGCAACACUCGGUGAUGAGUUGUGGAUGGGAGAGAAAUUCUAAUCGAACUCGGUGAUAGCUGGUUCUCCUUGAAAUAGUUUUAGGACUAGCCUCGCGCGUUCCCUUUGGCGGUAGAGCACUGGAUGAGACUCGGGUCCUUCGGGAUACCAGUUUCAAUCAAACUCCGAAUGCCGAAGAUUAAAAGCGCGGGAGUCAGACUGUGGGGGCUAAGCUCCAUAGUCAAAAGGGAAACAGCCCUGAUCGCCAGCUAAGGUCCCUAAAUCCAUAUUAAGUGUGAAAGGUGGUGUUAACUCUUAUACAACCAGGAGGUUGGCUUAGAAGCAGCCAUCCUUUAAAGAAAGCGUAACAGCUCACUGGUCAAGAGUUUUCGCGCCGAAAAUGUACCGGGGCUAAAUAUGGUACCGAAGCUGCGAAUUGGUAGAUCCUCCGGGAUUUACCUCUGGUAAAGGAGCGUUGGUAGCUGCGCUGAAGCCAUAGCCGCGAGGCGUGGUGGAGUGCUACCAAGUGAGAAUGCAGGCAUGAGUAACAAUAAGGGAAGUGAGAAUCUUCCCCGCCGAAAAUCCAAGGUUUCCUGGGCAACGAGACUCGACCCAGGGUUAGUCGAUCCUAAGGCCAGGCCGAAAGGCGUAACCGAUGGAAGAGCAGGUUAAUAUUCCUGCACUUGGUAUAGUUUGUUUGUUAGUGCGCAUAGUGAAGCUGACAGCGUGUUUUGAAUAUACACGUUUCUUUACCCCGACGUGAAGUCGGGGCAGGGACGAAGAUGAAGCCUUCGGGUGGAGUCAACUGUCGGGGACGCUGUGCCUAGAAAAGCUAAUAAACGUUAAGCUAUAUCAAACCGUACCGUAAACCGACACAGGUAGGUGAGUCGAGAAGACUAAGGCGUACGAGAGAACCCUCUUUUAGGAACUCUGCAAUACAGCGGCCGUAACUUAGGGAUAAGGCCCGCCCCGAUGUAAAAAUCGGGGUUACAACAAAAGACGCACUGCGACUGUUUACCAAAAACACAGCUCCCUGCAAAAGCGCAAGCUGAAGUAUAGGGAGUGAUGCCUGGCCAGUGUCAGAACGUUAAGGCGAGAGGUUAUCCGGUCAUCCGACCGGAGAAGCCUUGAACUGAAGCGCUGAUGAACGCCGGCGGUAACUAUAACCGUCCUAAGGUAGCGGACUUGAGAAAUCGAGCACGCUAGGAUUGGGACGGAUAUAGCAAAAAGUAAACAAUCAUUAAAGAUGAGCAGAGUCAUCGAAAUAUUAACAGCCAUUCAAAAAAUGCUACCUUGCUUUGCAGUAAUGCAAAGAAUAAUCCGGUCAUAGCUUAUGAGAGACUAUACGCUAUGCUCCUCCGACGAAACUCGGAGGAAGAAGAUUUAGUCCUUCGUCAUUAAACAGGAAACGAAGAGCGAAAUUCCUUGUCGGGUAAACCAAGAACUUGCCCCCUGGUCGAGUAAUUGACCUUGAAGCAAUAGCUGUAUCGGUGGAACCCAUAAAAAAUCGUGCAGAUUAAUUAUGGGCAAUACCGAGGGAAGUCCUCCCAAAAUGGAGUGACCCCGUAGAGACUACACGCUGUCUCCCGAGUUAUUCGGGAUGAAGAUAUAGUCCGAUCCUGCCGAGUAAUUGGCAGCCCUACGAAAAUCAAAAAUCUAAAAUCAUAAAUCGAAAAUUCGUAGAUGGAGUUCCGACCUGCACGAAUGGCAUAACGAUAGUGCGACUGUCUCAAAGAGGGACUCGGUGAAAUUGCAAGGAAGGUGAAGAUGCCUUCUACCCGCAACUAGACGAAAAGACCCCGUGAAGCUUUACUACAGCUUGCUAUUGGUAUACGUGCACGUAUGUUGAGCGUAGGUGGGACCCGCAAGGGGCCAAUGAGACACCACCCUUAUGUAUAUGUAUGCCUAAUCUCUGCCCGUGAAUCCGGGGAGGGAGACAGUGGCUGGCGGGUAGUUUAUCUGGGGCGGAUGCCUCCUAAAAUGUAACGGAGGCGUUUACAAAGGUAGGCUUAGCGCGGAUGGAAAUCGCGCUGGACGUGCAAACGCAAAAGCCUGCUUUACUGCAAGGGCUACAACCCGCGCAGUUGCGAAAGCAGAAGUUAGUGAACCGACCAUCCUAUAUAGGAAGGUGGAAGAUCAACGGAUAAAAGCUACUCCGGGGAUAACAGGCUGAUCGCGCCCAAUAGUCCACAUAGACGGCGCGGUUUGGCACCUUAAAUUAUCGGGGUGCAUACAAAGUGAUUUGUUUCCAAGUUUUUUCGUCUAAAACAAUUAUGUUAAGAUAGAAAUAGAGAUUUAAAUCGGCUUAUAACGGUGAACCCGUCAUCCCGCCUAAGGCGGGAUCGGCAAUACCGUGGGAAGUCGCCCAUUAACUGUGGGUUGACCCCGUAACGACUGACCCGAAAGGGGAGACUCGGUUACAGUUAGUAAUCGGGUAAUACGCCGACUCUUAUAUUAAUCAAACUGAGAUCAUGCGACUCACGCCCCGAGCAAGUCCCGAAAGGGACAAGUCGAGGGGUCCGCUAACAUCCAGUAUAAGAAGAAGAUAUAGUCUGCCCCAUACGAAAGUAUGGAAUCAUGUACGAUGUCGGCUCAUCGCAUCCUGGGGGUGAAGAAGCUCCCAAGGGUUUGGCUGUUCGCCAAUUAAAGCGGUACGCGAGCUGGGUUCAGAACGUCGUGAGACAGUUCGGUCUCCUAUCUGUUGCGGGCGCAGAAUGUUGCAAAGACUCUUCCCUAGUACGAGAGGACCGGGAAGAAUAAACCUCUGGUGUGCGAGUUGUUCCGUCAGGAGCAUUGCUCGGUAGCUACGUUUAGCACGGAUAAACGCUGAAAGCAUCUAAGCGUGAAGCCGUCUUUAAGAUUAACAUUCGUUAUAGACCCCUUGUAGAUUACGAGGUUGAUAGGCUCUACGUGUAAGCACAGUAAUGUGUUGAGCGGAGGAGUACUAAUCGGUCGAGCGCACAAC